rnacentral:rRNA from 1 species
UACGUAGGUGGCAAGCGUUAUCCGGAUUUACUGGGUUUAAAGGGUGCGUAGGCGGGUGAAUAAGUCAGAGGUGAAAGCUGGUAGCUUAACUAUCAAAAUGCCUUUGAUACUGUUCGUCUUGAAUGCGGUUGAGGUAGCUGGAAUGGGUAGUGUAGCGGUGAAAUGCAUAGAUAUUACCCAGAACACCGAUUGCGAAGGCAGGUUACUAAGCCGUGAUUGACGCUGAGGCACGAAAGCGUGGGGAGCAAACAGG